UCUCCUGGAAACGGGUGGUAAUGCCGGAUGCUCCAGUUGGAUGCAUGUCCUUCUGGGAAAGAUUCAUCGGUAUGGGAUGGGGUCGCGUCCUAUCAGCUUGAUGGCGGGGUAACGGCCCACCAUGGCUUCGACGGGUAGCCGGCCUGAGAGGGCGACCGGCCACAUUGGGACUGAGAUACGGCCCAGACUCCUACGGGAGGCAGCAGUGGGGAAUAUUGCACAAUGGGCGCAAGCCUGAUGCAGCGACGCCGCGUGCGGGAUGACGGCCUUCGGGUUGUAAACCGCUUUUGACUGGGAGCAAGCCCUUCGGGGUGAGUGUACCUUUCGAAUAAGCACCGGCUAACUACGUGCCAGCAGCCGCGGUAAUACGUAGGGUGCAAGCGUUAUCCGGAAUUAUUGGGCGUAAAGGGCUCGUAGGCGGUUCGUCGCGUCCGGUGUGAAAGUCCAUCGCUUAACGGUGGAUCCGCGCCGGGUACGGGCGGGCUUGAGUGCGGUAGGGGAGACUGGAAUUCCCGGUGUAACGGUGGAAUGUGUAGAUAUCGGGAAAGAACACCACC
rnacentral:rRNA from 1 species